UAAUCCGGAUAAGCCCUUCGGGGAAGAGAUUUAUCGCCGAAAGAUCGGCCCGCGUCUGAUUAGCGUAGUUGGUGAGGUAACGGCUCACCAAGGCGACGAUCAGUAGCGUGGUCCUGAGAGGAUGAUCAGCCACACUGGGACUGAGACACGGCCCAAACUCCUACGGGAGGCGGCAGUGGGGAACUAUUGGACUAAUGGGCGCAAGCCUGAUCCAGCCAUGCCGCGUGAGUGAUUGAAGGCCCUAGGGUUGUAAAGCUCUUUUGUGCGGGAAGAUAUGACGGUUCGGCAAGAAUAAGCCCCGGCUAACUUCGUGCCAGCAGCCGCGGUAAUACGAAGGGGGCUAGCGUUGCUCGGAAUCACUGGGCGUAAAGGGUGCGUAGGCGGGUCUUUAAGUCAGGGGUCGAAAUCCUGGAGCUCAACUCCAGAACUGCCUUUGAUACUGAGGAUCUUGAGUUCGGAAGAGGUGAGUGGAACUGCGAGUGUAGAGGUGAAAUUCGUAGAUAUUCGCAAGAACACCAGUGGCGAAGGCGGCUCACUGGUCCGAUACUGACGCUGAGGCACGAAAGCGUGGGGAGCAAACAGGAUUACGAUACCCUGGUAGUCCACGCCGUAAACGAUGAAUGCCAGCCGUUGGAGGGUUUACUCUCCAGUGGCGCAGUUAACGCUUUAAGCAUUCCGCCUGGGGAGUACGGUCGCAAGAUUAAAACUCAAAAGGAAUUGACGGGGGCCCGCACAAGCGGUGGAGCAUGUGGUUUAAUUCGACGCAACGCGCAGAACCUUACCAGCCCUUGACAUCCCGGUCGCGGUUUCCAGAGAUGGAUUCCUUCAGUUCGGCUGGACCGGAGACAGGUGCUGCAUGGCUGUCGUCAGCUCGUGUCGUGAGAUGUUGGGUUAAGUCCCGCAACGAGCGCAACCCCCGUCCUUAGUUGCUAACCAUUUAGUUGAGCAAUUCUAAGGAGACUGCCGGUGAUAAGCCGCGAGGAAGGUGGGAUGACGUCAAGUCCUCAUGGCCCUUACGGGCUG
rnacentral:rRNA from 1 species